rnacentral:lncRNA from 1 species
GAAUAUUGAGUUGCAGGUUGCAAAAACAGCAGCAACAUGCCAACAUCUCACACUUGUUAUUACAUAUUGAACUUGAAACUCAACAUUAUGCAGAAGAUCACAGGCAGCAGCAGCAGCCAGCUCAUAUUCAAAAGCGAGGGGGCCCGCCAGGUCCACCACCGGGUCCACCAGGUCCACCACCGGGACCACCAGGACCGCCAAAUCCCCCACCAAACAUGGGUCCACAGCAGCUCUCAAACAGGCAGCAGCAGCACAGGACAUAAGCACUGCACAGUGCACACCAUAUAUACAUAUACAAUAAUUUUAGAAUAAUAAUAAUAAUAAUUAGGAAAUUACCUUCAUAAAUAAGAAAAAAAAUAAGAAAAUUGAAAGAAGCAUGCAGCAGAUGCAGCUACAUUUUCUAUUAACUUAUAAUUUGGGAGGGCAAUUACAUGAAUAAAAUAUUAUAAAAAGCCAAAGUGAUGAACUCACCAAGAUGAUAAAAGGCGGCAUAUACCGCUACAGAGGGCGCCUAAGCAACCAAAGCCCGGUGGGCCUCCCGGUCCAGGUGGCGGCAUCUCUUUCUCUUCUCUUCUCUGUGUCUCUUAAUCAAGCAAAGCACUCUGG